GCGAGUCCCCGCCCCGUUGGGGACGCGGCUGACGCCCGGACGCGCUCGGAGGCGGCUCAGGAAUUGAAAGCCGAGCCCCGGCCGGUGAACCAGAGGAAACUCGCGGGAGGCUGGGGGAGGCCGGACGAGGAGCAGCAAGAAGGGUGUAUGGCUGCACAGCAUGAAACAGAAGAACAGAGGCCAGAUCCCAUAUGACUUUGAAGACCAAAGUCUUGAGUGACAGCUCUCCCCGAAGAUCCUCUGAGGAGGAAGACAAAGCAGGGUGUACAUGAGAGACAAAGACGCUAUCUGUCCAGCAAUGACAGAGACAUCAAGACAUCACCUCCUCUGACAUUUAUAGUCCCACUGGCUCUCUCACUCUCCAGAUACCCCAGAAGCCAAGAGUCAAAGUGCAGAUGCUGGGCCAAGCUGGAGUGGGUAAGGGGCAGUAUCCUAACUCUGUCUCUUCCUACUUUCUCCUCCUUUUCCUGGAGCUAAGCUAAGCUGAGCUCUCCCUCCUCACUUCCUCUUUCUGCUCACAAUACUUUACCCUAUCCAUCCAUCCAUCUUCAGGGAAACUUCAUGCCCUUGGUGGGGGUGUGAGGGCCUGGAUAUAUUUGCCACUACAGCCUCCUCACAUUAAUCUGGUCUAGACACACCCCAGCUCCUGUUUUCUCACACAACUUCUGGAAAGGCACAUCCUCAGGACCCCAAACUACCAGAAAUAUACCACCACCCACGUUGUAUGGCCCAGCGCUCCCCCACGCUCCCACAGGCCCUUACCUUUGAAUUUCUUGAGCAGCCCCUUUAAGACAAAGGUCUUGAGGGAAACAUUCCAGACUUUAUUCUUCAUCUCGGAAGAGACUGUGGUUGGCUUGGGGCUUGGCACAUUGCUGCACCUAUAGGAUGAGACCCAGAAGGAGCCCAUAAACACUGCACUUCCACCAGGCUGUGACAAUUAGGAUGGCAAGGUCUUCUUGGUGAGGAAAGUUAGAAAAAGGAGAGCCUGAUUUCAAGUCAGAAUGAACACCCAUGGCCCAGAAGGUACGUAAAGCAGUGUAUGAGGGCUGGAAGCGGUGUUAGGUGAGCAACUGUUGGAGGCAUGGCAGUGAAAGACAACUCAAUGAAAAAGGAGAAAAGGCAGCUUGGAGAGGCCCAAGGAAUUCUUAGGUCCACUCACCUGUUCAGUGUGUUUUUGAAUUCCUGGAGAGAAAAAUGAAAGAAAACCGUAUUAACAUCAGGUAAACUAUAUUCACCUUUGAAACUAGUUCCUUGUCCUGUUUCCAGGGCUAUCAGCAAGAAACACUUGUACUAACCAUCCCCCACCAGCCUUGGCCUAAGAGGCAUUGGCUUCCCACUAUGGCUGGUCACUGGGUCUCUCAACAUGGUGACCCUGCUGCAGCUCUACAAAUGCUCCCUUCAUUACAGAAUCAUUCCUGAGCCAGGUGCUGGAGCCCUCUGUACUUGACUCCAACCAAAACAAGUCACAAUCCUUAUGCAAUGACUGGUCACUCUGGCUAGCACCUAAUGAUUGUUCUUGACCCAUUUGUGAUGUGUGAAGUUUAGUAGAUUGUGACUAUGUUUAAAUGAAAUAGAAAACAUCAAAGUUCAUAACAUGUAGUAGAGGUACAGAGAAGUUUCUGAGACUUUUGUCUCAAGUGUGUAUACACUGAAGAAUGAUGCAAAAUAUAUUAUGGUUCAUGGUCAAGAAAGUUUUACCACAUUCCUUUAGAGAUCUAACCCAAGAAAUCCAGGGCACUUUGCUCGAGUCCUCUUUGGUUUUUGAUUAUGUGAUUCUAUUAAACUCACAGGAUCUCACUCUGUUAGGCUGCUGUUUGCAAAGACUCAGGUCAAGGUAGACUCACCUGAAGGCAGUCAAGGUCAGGCUUUCGCGUUGUCUCCUGGAUCUGGCUACUCAGCUUGGAGAGCUGGGCAAUCUCACUCCCCAGCUGGGCCAGGUUCUCAUUCUGCUUCUGUGUCACCUCCCGUGAUACCUCCUCCAGGCGGCCCAGGAGCCUACCCUCCUGCUCCACCAGGAAGGCCCUCAGGGCCUGGAACUCUGCCCCUACCUUCUCUCGCUCUGCAGCCAUCUGCUUCUGUCCCAAGUAAGAAAAUUGAGAGGCAAGGGCACAUAAGCAUGGAGCAGUGGUGUUUGGGCAGGAGAUUCUGAGUUGUCCCAUGGGGCAGGGUUCCACCCCCCCUCUGCUAAGGGGUCAGAGAUUCACCCACAUAAGCCUGUCCACAGCAAACGCUUUCAUUUAAAUCCCCCAAAUCUGAGUAUGCAGCAGCUUCAACACAUGCUCUGGCCUCUCCUGUCACACUUGUCCCUGUCCUUGGGUGUCGGCUCUCCCACCAAUCUAGGGCCACUUCAAACUUGCCCCAGACCUACUUAGGCUGCUGUUUUCUCAUUUGAAAAGGGGAAAGAUUAAUCAAUGCCUCUAGGGGUGCCACUCCACUGAUUUAACUGAGGUCACUCUUUCUUCCUCAAACACACUUUGUGCCCAAAAUGGAGUUACGUACGUUAAGCCCCACAUCACCAAACCUAGACUUAGAUGCAGUUUCAGCUCUCCCAGAGAUAGACUCUUAAACCAGUCAAUCAGGAAUCAGCUUAUCAGCACUGGUUAGUUAGGUCAAUUGCCUGAUAAGCCCUUGCUAUAUCCUAUAGGGAAAGUAACCUUGCAAUAAUCAACCUGCCUUUUUGACUGGUGCAACUUCCUUGUUUCUGCCCCCUUCUGUCUAUAAAAUCUCUUGCCCUGUAAAACCCUUUGGAGCCCCUUCCUAUCUGUUAGAUAGGAUACUACCUGGUUCAUGAGUGGCUGGAUGAAGCUAAUAAAUCUCUAAAUUUUACUCAAUUGAAUUCAUUCUUUAACAUUCACCAACCCUCCUAUUUUCACUUUCUUAAAAAAAAAAAACUAUUCUAAAUAGACCUUUAUUGACCAGGGUGUGUUUUAGGAUUUAAAGGCUGAAUGGUCCAGGUCACAGGGACAUAAGUGAAGUCAACGGUAGGCUGCCUGACUACUGCUGGCAGCAGCCAUCAAGGAACAUGUAGUCUUUGCUUUUGUGGCAGUCAUCCUCUGGUCUCAGCCACCGUAGGAACCUGCUGGUGGUCAGACACCCACUUAUUCUCCACCAGGAUGCCCAAUCAGUUGCAGAGCCAGGUUCUAUGGGGCAGUGAGCUCCGUGUGGGGCAUCACCACUCUGCCCAGCAAGGCCAUCAUCUCUUCAUUAAUGAUUAUCAUGCUGAUGAUGGAGUGUCUGGCAGGAAGAUCCAGCUCAGACAGGGUUUCAGCAGAGCCUCCAAGUUGACUGUCAAGAUGCUGCUGAAGGUGAAGAGGCAGAUCUGCCAGUGACUCCUCCUGGAUCUUCCUAAACAUCAUGGUUUGAACUUCGCAAAGAUCCCACGCUUUGCUAUUCAUCUUCUUGUUGAUAACAAAAUGGUGUUAGGUCUCCAGUCAUCGAUUUUCAUGGCCUUGGAAGCAGUGACCAUGUAGACAGAUCCCCUCCAUUUUGCAACAACAACAAAAAACCUCCACUUGACUAAAAAUUAGU